rnacentral:rRNA from 1 species
AGAGUUGAUCCUGGCUAGGAUGAACGCUGGCGGCGUGCCUAACACAUGCAAGUCGGGCGUGAACCCUUAGAAUGAAACUUCGGUCGAAUGAAGAGGGGAAGCGGCGGACGGGUGAGUAACGCGUAGGCAACCUGCCCGUACAGAGGGAUAGCCUCGGGAAACCGGGAUUAAAACCUCAUAAUACCAUGGUAUCACAUGAUGCAAUGGUCAAAGAUUUAUCGGUAUGGGAUGGGCCUGCGUCUGAUUAGCUGGUUGGUGGGGUAACGGCCUACCAAGGCAACGAUCAGUAGCCGACCUGAGAGGGUAAUCGGCCACAUUGGAACUGAGACACGGUCCAAACUCCUACGGGAGGCAGCAGUGGGGAAUAUUGCACAAUGGGCGAAAGCCCUGAUGCAGCAACGCCGCGUGAGCGAAGAAGGCCUUUGGGUCGUAAAGCUCUGUCGGGAAGGAAGAUAAUGACGGUACUUCCCGAGGAAGCCCCGGCUAACUACGUGCCAGCAGCGGC